rnacentral:rRNA from 1 species
GCAGUCGCCGCGGGAAUACGGAGGAUCCGAGCGUUAUCCGGAAUUAUUGGGUUUAAAGGGUGCGUAGGCGGAUAGAUAAGUCAGUGGUGAAAGACGGUGGCUCAACCAUCGCAGUGCCGUUGAUACUGUUUAUCUUGAAUAUGGAUGAGGUAGGCGGAAUGUGGCAAGUAGCGGUGAAAUGCAUAGAUAUGCCACAGAACACCGAUUGCGAAGGCAGCUUACCAAGGCAAAAUUGACGCUGAGGCACGAAAGCGUGGGGAUCGAACAGGAUUAGAUACCCCAGUAGUCCCUGUCUCUUAUAC